rnacentral:rRNA from 1 species
CUAACUGGAGGACCGAACCGACUAAUGUUGAAAAAUUAGCGGAUGACUUGUGGCUGGGGGUGAAAGGCCAAUCAAACCGGGAGAUAGCUGGUUCUCCCCGAAAGCUAUUUAGGUAGCGCCUCGUGAACUCAUCUUCGGGGGUAGAGCACUGUUUCGGCAAGGGGGUCAUCCCGACUUACCAACCCGAUGCAAACUGCGAAUACCGGAGAAUGUUAUCACGGGAGACACACGGCGGGUGCUAACGUCCGUCGUGAA